UAAUACCGCAUACGACCUGAGGGUGAAAGUGGGGGACCGCAAGGCCUCAUGCUAUAGGAGCGGCCGAUGUCUGAUUAGCUAGUUGGUGGGGUAAAGGCCCACCAAGGCGACGAUCAGUAGCUGGUCUGAGAGGACGAUCAGCCACACUGGGACUGAGACACGGCCCAGACUCCUACGGGAGGCAGCAGUGGGGAAUUUUGGACAAUGGGGGCAACCCUGAUCCAGCAAUGCCGCGUGUGUGAAGAAGGCCUUCGGGUUGUAAAGCACUUUUGUCCGGAAAGAAAUCGCACUGGUUAAUACCUGGUGUGGAUGACGGU
rnacentral:rRNA from 1 species